AACGUAGGAGGCAAGCGUUAUCCGGAUUUACUGGGCGUAAAGCGCGUGCAGGCGGUGAGGUAAGUCGUGCGUGAAAGCUCCCUGGCUCAACCGGGAGGGGACGUGCGAGACUGCCUGACUAGAGGUCAGUAGAGGCAAGUAGAAUUCCGGGUGGAGUGGUGAAAUGCGUAGAGAUCCGGAGGAAUACCAGUGGCGAAGGCGGCUUGCUGGGCUGCACCUGACGCUCAGACGCGACAGCAUGGGGAGCGAACGGG
rnacentral:rRNA from 1 species